AUACGGAGGGUGCAAGCGUUAUCCGGAAUCAUUGGGUUUAAAGGGUCCGUAGGCGGACUAAUAAGUCAGGGGUGAAAUCCCACAGCUUAACUGUGGAACUGCCUUUGAUACUGUUAGUCUUGAGUUAUAUGGAAGUAGAUAGAAUGUGUAGUGUAGCGGUGAAAUGCUUAGAGAUUACACAGAAUACCGAUUGCGAAGGCAGUCUACUACAUAUAUACUGACGCUAAUGGACGAAAGCGUGGGGAGCGGACAGGAUUAGAAACCCUUGUAGUCC
rnacentral:rRNA from 1 species